GGACGGUUCAGAUUUAGGUGAACUGGAUGGAUUUUUGUCUUGUCCAGGUAUUAACUAUUAUGGACGGAUGGCUUUUCCCUGGACUUGCACUGGGAUUCCCAAGAAGGAAGGAGCCUCCUCUUGCCUCAAGCAAGGAUGCACAAAUGUCCUCAGACCCUCCGACACCUGGAAGUUCACCGUGCAAGACUAAAGCAGCCAGUGGUUCAGUCUCGGAAAUUCUAAAUAGACUGCUUUUUAAGUUAAAAUAUAAAUUAUCUCAUGAAUAUAAAUGCAGGUUUCCUGCAUCUACUGUCUCCAAGGACGAGGAAGGAAAGAGCUUCCUGGUAUAUCCUCUCCUCGAUGUCGAAGCAAGCCUGAGCCCCCCCGUCAAAGGCCAGAACUCAGGGAGGUUGAUCCUCUGUGUUCCGUCUGUGAGAAAGGACGUGGAAAAAGAAUUCAGAAGUCUAAAACAGCAGCCUGACUAGUCAGGGUCUCCACGGCUGUGAACAGACACCACCAUGACCACAGCAACUCUUACAAAGGAUGACGUUUAAUUAGGGACUAGCUUACAGUUUCAGAGGUUCAGUCCAUUAUCAUCAUGGCAGGAAGCACGGCAGCCUCCAGGCAGACAUGGCGCUGGAGGAGCGCAAAGUUCUACAUCUUGACCUGCAGGCAGCAAGGAGGAAACUGGAUGUGUAUCUCACUGGGUGUACUAGCUUGAGCAUUUAAGACCUCAAAGCCCCACCUCCACAGUGACGUACUUCCUCCAACAAGGCCACACCCACCCCAAUACGGCCACACCCACUCCAACAAGACCACACCCACUCCAAUGAGGCCACAGCUCCUAAUAGUGCCACUCCCUAUGGCCAACCAUUCAAGCACAUGAGGGCCAUACCUAUUCAAACCGCCACAGGUGGUUUAAGCCUUUGUGUGUGUGUGUGUGUGUGUGUGUGUGAGAGAGAGAGAGAGAGAGAGAGAGAGAGAGAGAGAGAGAGAGAGAGAGAGAGAGAGAGAGAGAGAGAGAGAGAGACAGUGCUUCACACUAGGUAGCCCAGGCUAGCUUUGAACUUUUCCUGCUUCAGUUUCCUGAGUUCUGGAAUUGCAGAUAUGUGCUAUCAUGAUUCUCAAGGCAACCUCUUUCUCCCUCCCUCUCUGCAUGUGAGAGUUCUGGGGAGUGUAAGUUUGACUGAAAAUGCCCCCGUAGGCUCCUAUGUUAGAAUGCUUGGGCUUGGUUGCUGUGCUGGCUCAUGUUAUGUAACCUGACACAGUUAGAGUCAUUUGAGAGCAGGAAACCACCAUUGAAAAAAACGCAUCGGUAAGACUGGGCUGUGGACAAGCCUGUGGGGUAUUUUUUUUAAUUAGUG
ensembl:lncRNA